CAAAGGCUUCCGGUGCGGAUCAAGUCGGCCGCCAAGGGCCAAGGCCGCAGCAAUCACGAGGCGCUCCAUUGCUCAUAGUUGGGGCCAGUUGUUCCUACUAGCAGCUGCGAGGGAAACUAAAUUGGAAGACAGAGGGCAAGAAAGCCACCCAGGACACAGAUCAAAGCUGAGAAGUAUGAGGAGUGGCGUUGGGAGAAAAGAAAGUAUACCCUCCCUUUCUGUCUGGCUUUGAUGGAGCAAUCUGCCACGUUGAAAAAGCCAUGUAGCAAGGAACCGAGAGUGCCCACUAGUGAGUGAGGAACUAAGCUUCUCAAUCCAACAACCCUCAACUAACUGAACCAGCCAACAACCACACACAAACGCUAGUUCCAUUCCCUGCUCUUAUGAUGUGAGAUGCGUACUGAUUUUGCAGUGCAUGGGACUUUGAAAGACUAAACACAAGCAAGCUAAUAAACCUACCACCAGAGAGAUUUGGAUGGUCUUAGCAACGGAGCCCCAGUGAGACUUGGCCACAUCCCUCGCUCACCUUGACAAGGAGCUCACCUCUGUAACAGUGUGCACAUCUGAGAUACCUGGAGUCUUCCCCAGCUGAGCCGACCUGCUGGUGAA